rnacentral:rRNA from 1 species
GAUGAACGCUGACAGAAUGCUUAACACAUGCAAGUCGAUGGGGAAGUGGUGCUUGCACCAUGGUAACCAUGGCGGACGGGUGAGUAACGCGUAAGGAACUUACCUGCGGGACCGGGAUAACAGCAGGAAACUGCUGACAAGACCGGAUAAGGUCAUUAAGCUGCAUUGCUUAGUGAUGAAAGGAGACGCCUGCGGAGAGCCUUGCGUCCUAUUAGCUAGUUGGAGGGGUAACGGCCCACCAAGGCGAAGAUAGGUAGCCGGCCUGAGAGGGUGGACGGCCACAAGGGGACUGAGAUACGGCCCUUACUCCUACGGUAGGCAGCAGUGGGGAAUAUUGGACAAUGGGGGCAACCCUGAUCCAGCAAUUCUGUGUGCACGAAGACGGUUUUCGGAUUGUAAAGUGCUUUCAGCAGGGAAGAAGGAAGUGACGGUACCUGCAGAAGAAGCGACGGCUAAAUACGUG